CGCACAUUGCGCCCCUCGGCAUUCCGGGGGGCAUGCCUGUUCGAGCGUUAUUGCACCCCUCAAGCGUAGCUUGGUAUUGGGCUCUCGCCCCCGUGGCGUGCCCGAAUAGCAGUGGCGGUCCGGAGCGACUUUAAGCGUAGUAAAACUUCUCCCGCUUUGAAAGAUCGCGCCGUGACCUGCCAGACAACUCCAACAUUUCAAUAAUUGACCUCGGAUCAGGUAGGGAUACCCGCUGAACUUAA
rnacentral:misc_RNA from 1 species